AACGCUGGCGGCGUGCCUAAUACAUGCAAGUCGAACGGUCUUUCUAUGGAAGCUUGCUUCCACUGAGAAGAUAGUGGCGAACGGGUGAGUAACACGUGGGUAACCUGCCCAUAAGAGGGGGGAUAACAUCCGGAAACGGGUGCUAAUACCGCAUAGUUUUCUUGAUUGCAUGAUUGAGAAAGGAAAGACGGCCUUUGUGCUGUCGCUUAUGGAUGGACCCGCGGCGUAUUAGUUAGUUGGUGAGGUAACGGCUCACCAAGACGAUGAUACGUAGCCGACCUGAGAGGGUGAUCGGCCACAUUGGGACUGAGACACGGCCCAAACUCCUACGGGAGGCAGCAGUAGGGAAUCUUCCGCAAUGGACGAAAGUCUGACGGAGCAACGCCGCGUGAGUGAAGAAAGGUUUUCGGAUCGUAAAACUCUGUUGUCAGAGAAGAACAAGUUGGAGAGUAACUGCUCCAGCCUUGACGGUAUCUGACCAGAAAGCCACGGCUAACUACGUGCCAGCAGCGGC
rnacentral:rRNA from 1 species